CUUCUAGCAUCAUGGCACAGGCGGAGAGCCCAGCUCUGGACAGCAAGACCGGCCAGUACCGGUUUCACUUUCACUGCAGGCAGGAGAGUCUGGGAACAAAGACACGUGAUGCUAUCAGGCCCAAGAACUGGCCAGGAAAGAACUGAAUACAGACAGGAGUGCUCAGAGAAACAAUAAGAUUAUUUUAUCCAGUACUUAGCCUGAAACAUUGAAGAAAGAUAUCAGAAUCCCAUAUCAACUGCAGCCAGCAAGUAAACUGAUUUGUAUUCUCCUUUGAGGAAAUUCAUAAUAAAAGACCCAAUCUGGUGUGUUUCGUUGAGUUCA